CUUCACCGAACCCAGGAACACCGGAUUCUCCGGCUCACGAUCCCGGCCAUAGGUCGCCAACAACGCCUGCGCCUC
rfam:Actinoalloteichus hymeniacidonis strain HPA177(T) (=DSM 45092(T)), complete genome.